UUUAGUAGAGAUGGGGUUUCUCUAUGCUGGUCAGGCUGGUCUCGAACUCCUGACCUCAGGUGAUCUGUCUGCCUUGGCCUCCCAAAGUGCUGGGAUUACAGGCAUGAGCCAUUUUGCCUGGCCAAAAUUAAUACUUUUUAUAUUAAAUUUACAUAUAUAUAUAUAUAUAUAUGUUUUUUCUUUUUGAUACCGGGUCUCACACUGUCACCCAGGCUGGAGUACAGUGGCACAACCUCUGCUCACUGCAGCCUCCACCUGCCAGGCUCAAGCAAUUCUCCUGCCUCAGCCUCCCGAGUAGCUGGGAUUACAGGUAAGUGCCACCACACCCAGCUGAUUUUUGUGUUUUUUGUAGAGACGAGGUUUCGCCAUGUUUCCCAGACUGUUCUCAAACUCCUGAGCUCAAAGCAGUCCACCCACCUUGGCCUCCCAGAGUGCUGGGAUUACAGGUGUGAACCAUCUUGCUCAUUCUAGUUUAAACUUUUGAGUGGUUUGUGUCUCCUGAUUGGACUCCUACAAAUACAGAAUUGAUGCUAGGAAGGGUACCAGGAGAUAGACGCACAUGGAUGGGAUUUGGGAAUAGGUUUGGUUAUCCAAGGAGCAGUGCUGAGCUCCUUGCUAAUGGGAUAUGGGAUGCUGGUGAUUUCCAGGAAGUGAGCUCACAAUGACUCAAGCUGCCACAUACUGUUGAUUGUGAAAUGCCAGUUGAAGCAUAUGUCCUGUGAGCUUAGGGGUGCUACAAGUUGACCACUGCAGCAGUAAAGAUGACUCUGAAGAAUGGCGUGGGAUGGAUCCUUUCAAAUGCACUUGAGCAGCGGUCUCCAACCACAGGGCCACAGAGCUGGAGCUGGAUCUACCAUGAAGGACUUCUGAAUCCAGGAAGAGAGACUGACUGGGCAACAUGUUAUUCAGGUACAAAAAGAUUUGGACUGUAACUUAAAAAUGAUCAAAUAAUAGUGCAUGCAUCAAGUGCAAUGGGAAGCUCUUCUGGAGAGUGAGAGAAGCUUCCAGUUAAGGUGACAUUGAAGCCAAGUCCUGAAAGAUGAGGAAGAGUUGUAUGAGAGUGGGGAGGGAAGGGGGAGGUGGAGGGAUGGGGAAUGGGCCGGGAUGGGAUAGCGCAAACUGCCCGGGAAGGGAAACCAGCACUGUACAGACCUGAACAACGAAGAUGGCAUAUUUUGUUCAGGGAAUGGUGAAUUAAGUGUGGCAGGAAUGCUUUGUAGACACAGUAAUUUGCUUGUAUGGAAUUUUGCCUGAGAGACCUCAUUGCAGUUUCUGAUUUUUUGAUGUCUUCAUCCAUCACUGUCCUUGUCAAAUAGUUUGGAACAGGUAUAAUGAUCACAAUAACCCCAAGCAUAAUAUUUCAUUAAUUCUCACAGAAUCACAUGUAGGUGCCACAGUUAUCCCCAUUUUAUGAAUGGAGUGAUGAAGCCUUAGGAAUAAUGAAUGAUUUGCGCAGGCUCACCUGGAUAUUAAGACUGAGUCAAAUGUUGGGUCUGGUCUGACUUUAAUGUUUGCUUUGUUCAUGAGCACCACAUAUUGCCUCUCCUAUGCAGUUAAGCAGGUAGGUGACAGAAAAGCCCAUGUUUGUCUCUACUCACACACUUCCGACUGAAUGUAUGUAUGGAGUUUCUACACCAAAUUCUUCAGUGCUCUGGAUAUUAACUGGGUAUCCCAUGACUUUAUUCUGACACUACCUGAAGUUAGCACAGACCCCACAAGUUAGGGGCUCAGUCCCACGAGGCCAUCCUCACUUCAGCUGCCAAUGGCAAGUCCUAAGUUGUCACCAUACUUUUGACCAACCUGUUACCAAUCGGG
rnacentral:lncRNA from 1 species